UACGUAGGGCGCGAGCGUUGUCCGGAAUCAUUGGGCGUAAAGAGCGUGUAGGCGGCUUGGUAAGUCCGCUGUGAAAGUCCAGGGCUCAACCCUGGAAUGCCGGUGGAAACUGUCAAGCUUGAGUCCGGAAGAGGCGAGUGGAAUUCCUGGUGUAGCGGUGAAAUGCGCAGAUAUCAGGAGGAACACCAAUGGCGAAGGCAGCUCGCUGGGACGGUACUGACGCUGAGACGCGAAAGCGUGGGGAGCAAACAGG
rnacentral:rRNA from 1 species